rnacentral:rRNA from 1 species
AUUGAACGCUGGCGGAAUGCUUUACACAUGCUAGUCGAACGGCAGCACGGACUUCGGUCUGGUGGCGAGUGGCGAACGGGUGAGUAAUACAUCGGAACGUGCCCAGUCGUGGGGGAUAACGUAGCGAAAGCUACGCUAAUACCGCAUACGAUCUAAGGAUGAAAGCGGGGGAUCGCAAGACCUCGCGCGAUUGGAGCGGCCGAUGGCAGAUUAGGUAGUUGGUGGGGUAAAGGCCUACCAAGCCGACGAUCUGUAGCUGGUCUGAGAGGACGACCAGCCACACUGGGACUGAGACACGGCCCAGACUCCUACGGGAGGCAGCAGUGGGGAAUUUUGGACAAUGGGCGCAAGCCUGAUCCAGCCAUUCCGCGUGCAGGAUGAAGGCCCUCGGGUUGUAAACUGCUUUUGUACGGAACGAAAAGGCUCUGGUUAAUACCCGGGGCUCAUGACGGUACCGUAAGAAUAAGCACCGGCUAACUACGUGCCAGCCGCCGCGGUAA